ACAGAUGUUAUCCAUUCAUUGGACAGGAGGCGCCUAUGAUGUCCCGCUUCCUGAAAGAAAAACAUACAAAUCUUUUCCUCCUAAUAAUAAAGCACGGAUUAACUCCGUGGGUUCACCGUCACAAUACGCUUCUUCCCAUAAAUUUAUGCUUUUAGUUUUUUUUCUUCAACACGUCUAUAUUUCUAUAUCCAAGGUGGUACUAAUCUAUCUAUAUAUCCCCGCUGCGUUGUUGUUCUCCUCUCCUUCUCACGAGCGGAUCUGGGGCCGCCGCUACAGCCCGCGCUGCCGCUGCCUCCGCUAUAGCCCAACGCCGCCCCCGCUCGCCGCUGCGGAUCCACUGCGGCCCCCGCUACAGCCCGCCGUCACCCCUCCACCCAUCCGCUCGCCGCUGCCUCCGUCUUCGCGACGGUCCGCCCAAGCUAACGAGGAUGACAGCCCGAGCGGCGGCUGCAAUGGCUCGAGCGUUUGCGAGAUCGGAUGGUAGCCACGGCUGUGCACGGCCGCAUCAGUAGUUGCGUUAGCGGAUGGAGCGGCAGUUGCAUGGGCGUCCUUAAUUGAUCCCCUCAGCGGUACUUUCUUGCCGUACUUCUCGCUCAGCCCCCACGGUGCCGCUCGCCGUGCCCAACUAGACCGCCCGUGCUCCACCGAGCCCACCAAGAAGUUGGCUACCACGGCACCUAGGACAGUGCCUCAGUCCCUCCGGCCGACGGCUGCGCGGCGGCCGUGUGGAGCAAAGCUAGACAACGCUGGCCAGGGGUGAGGGUGGCGGGGUUGUGUGUACGGAGGCCCUGGAACAGGGUGGCGAGGUGAAGAGGAUAAGCUCGAGCAGCCUCAGCGCGUGCGUGUGUGGUGCUGCUGCUUUACCAAAGUCCACGGCUCCACGCCGAGAGAUUUGGGAGAGAGCCAGAGAGAUAAGAACACAGAGUUGCUUGGCCUGAAGAUACAUAACCAAAUUGUCUUCACCCACGUCCAGCCGCAUUCGUCGGAUCUGGGUUUUCUAUGUACCUGUGUUGUUCUUCGGCAAGUAUCAUUGUCUUUUUUCAUGUGCAUCCAGCCAUAGGAAUCAAUCAAGGAGCAACCUUUGUGUACGUGCAUGUGUUUUUCAGCAAUACUAACACCAGAUUUUGUGGUUUUUAAAAAAUUUUCCUCAAGUUCAAGUCGGAUCUGUUUAUACAGGCAUGUGAGAUUGCAGCGAAUUUGUUCAUGCUGGCUCUUGCUGAUUGAUGUUGCUCCUUCUCAACCCAUACUUGCAGAUUCUCACAUGCGCGGCCAAGGCGAAUUAGGCGAAUCGUUGCUGCUCUUGCUGGAUGAUAACAAGGCCGUGAGUUGACUGUUCGUCUGAUUAUCCAGAUGUAUUUACAAGCUAGCCACCUCCGCAAAUCAAUAAAAGGAUUUUUGCGAGGACAUCGGAGAUAUGAUGAACUACUUGGAAGAGUGAAGGUAUUUAUCCAUGUUGCGUCUUUGCAAUUGAAUGCUUGCCUCUUUGAGCACAAAUCUUGGUACUAAAGUGGCAUGUUUUGUCUUUGAAAGAGUUCUUUCUUGAGCAGUACAAGUACUAAGGAGAAAAAAGUAUGUUAAAUGUUGUUACUUGCCUUGGAGUGUGUUAUUGCAGUGGUACCUUCUUUUUUCUACUAAUUCCAAUAGAGUCAAAGAUAAUUCAUUUUUCUUUGAUUUCGUGUAUGAUGUUUUUCCAUAUAAUUAUUCUAAAUAAUGAAAGUACUUUUAGUUGCUUGCCAUUGGUUUCAUGUGUUUUCUCUUUUGCAUAUUGGCUCCCCUCUUUGUUGUGUUGUGUGGUCUGUUCGGUUCGCUUUGUCAUGAUUUGUCGAGAUGCCAAUUGAUGUUGUAUGUUGGCGUGUGCUAGGGGAACAUAUUGUGAUCCAGUGGACACAAUGUGCUAUUUUUUUAUCUCCCGUCCUGCAGGCUGGGUGGUUGGCUGGCGCUUUGUCAUGAUUUGUCGAGAUGCCAAUUGAUGUUGUAUGUUGGCGUGUGCUAGGGGAA